rnacentral:rRNA from 1 species
ACUAUACACAACUUUCGACAACGGAUCUCUUGGUUCUCCCAUCGAUGAAGAACGCAGCGAAACGCGAUAGGUAAUGUGAAUUGCAGAAUUCCGUGAAUCAUCGAAUCUUUGAACGCACCUUGCGCUCUAUGGCAAUCCGUAGAGCAUGCCUGUUUGAGUGCCAUGAAA